rnacentral:rRNA from 1 species
UACGGAGGGUGCAAGCGUUAUCCGGAUUUACUGGGUUUAAAGGGUGCGCAGGCGGAUAUGUAAGUCAGUGGUGAAAUCUCUAGGCUUAACCUGGAAAUUGCCGUUGAUACUAUAUAUCUUGAAUGCUGUGGAGGUAAGCAGAAUAUGUCAUGUAGCGGUGAAAUGCUUAGAUAUGACAUAGAAUACCUAUUGCGAAGGCAGCUUACUACGCAGAUAUUGACGCUCAUGCACGAAAGCGUGGGGAGCAAACAGG